rnacentral:rRNA from 1 species
CGUGAGCGGCGGACGGGUGAGUAACGCGUGGGUAACCUGCCUCAUACAGGGGGAUAACAGUUGGAAACGGCUGCUAAUACCGCAUAAGCGCACAGUACCGCAUGGUACGGUGUGAAAAACUCCGGUGGUAUGAGAUGGACCCGCGUCUGAUUAGGUAGUUGGUGGGGUAACGGCCUACCAAGCCGACGAUCAGUAGCCGACCUGAGAGGGUGACCGGCCACACUGGGACUGAGACACGGCCCAA